GGCAGCUGUGCUGGGCGAAAGCUGGCUGAAGUCAAAGGCAAGCAGAGCACAGCCAAGUGGACACCAGGUGAUCAGCGUGUAAGAGGCUUGAAUAGACCAUAAAGAUUCAGUUCAAGAAAGGCAUGCUGAAGACCACAACUGAGUGGCCCGACUCACACAUCUGUUCCAGCCAAUACCAGGGGUUUCUGUCUGAAGAAACCUGCAGGACUAGAGCAGCCGCUGAAGCGGCCAAAACAGUGUUCUUCCUUCAAAUUCUCAAAGAAUAGUCUCCAGGGGACAGCACUGGUCCUGCAGACUUUUCUAUUUUGCUUUAGGUCGACACAGAUGGCCUUAGCUGCUCGGGAACUUUGCCCCUUCUCCUUUCUCACAGCAGCAGAAAGGCCCAAGAGAAGAAGAACCUCUGAUGAGAGCUGCACAGCAGGAGGAAGAGGCACGACCUGAGCUUCCCAUGUGGUUGGUGGAGCCGAUGGGCCAGUGCGACAUUUGCUCAGGAUUCUAAAGCACUAGGUGCAAAGUCAGUCAGAAGGAGGUGCUUUCUCACACAUAUGCAGCUGCCCACAGCUGCCCCACACCAUCCAGAGGGUACCCCGAAGCCAGCAUGCUGGAAAGCUAGUGCUAAAGCACAGGCAGCCACUCUGUUAACAGCCUUCUCUGAGCACUGUGGGUGAGGAAAUGAGCGAGGGAAUGCCUAAUGAUUAGUUCCUUAUGGCCCUUACAUUCUUGAAGUAUAUUCUUUAUACCCGCUGGAACACUUCUGCAUUCUUGAUAGCGGGAUUGCAAUAUAAGUUCUUUCCUUUCAGAACACUGUCUUUUAUUGACACACUAAAAUAUCCUAGGAGCAAGAUUGGCCUUCCCUCCCACCUCACAGCCCUCCUUCACCAUGGCCACACUCUCCACGCCAUUCCUUGUUCUCUUUCUAAGAAUGCAAUAAACAUUU